GCGUUGGGUUCGUUGUUCGAAUCUUCGACCAGUAGUCUCAUAGCAGUAAUUAGACUUUCUUUUUCUUGCUCGGCACUCUUGGCCUUUCCUUGCAAAUCGGCUAAUAUAUAGGUUAAGUUGUUAAUUCUCACGUCUAAAGCUGGAGUUACACGAGCAACAAAAUUGCUGCAACUUGCAACAAAAUCUGAUUUCAACGCAUGUUAAGUGGAAAUGUCGACACAUGUUGCCUUGUGAUUUGUAAUUUAUGUGUAAACAUUUUCAAUUAACAUGCGUUGAAAUCAGAUUUUGUUGCAAGUUGCAGCAAUUUUGUUGCUCGUGUAACUGCACCUUAA
rnacentral:lncRNA from 1 species